rnacentral:hammerhead_ribozyme from 1 species
AUCCAUCCGACGAGUCCCAAAUGGGACGAAACACGCAUCUUGGAU